rnacentral:tRNA from 1 species
AACAUGUUGGCAGACAAAUGUACCUGAUUUAGGCUCAGUUAAUGGGGAAGCUUCCUCACAUGUUA